rnacentral:rRNA from 1 species
GUGAAGAUGCAGUGUACCCGCGGCAAGACGGAAAGACCCCGUGAACCUUUACUAUAGCUUGACACUGAACAUUGAGCCUUGAUGUGUAGGAUAGGUGGGAGGCUUUGAAGUGUGGACGCCAGUCUGCGUGGAGCCGGCCUUGAAAUACCACCCUUUAAUGUUUGAUGUUCUAACGUGGACCCGUGAUCCGGGUUGCGGACAGUGUCUGGUGGGUAGUUUGACUGGGGCGGUCUCCUCC